rnacentral:rRNA from 1 species
UACGAAGGGUGCAAGCGUUACUCGGAAUUACUGGGCGUAAAGCGUGCGUAGGUGGUUUGUUAAGUCUGAUGUGAAAGCCCUGGGCUCAACCUGGGAAUGGCAUUGGAUACUGGCAGUCUAGAGUGCGGUAGAGGGUAGCGGAAUUCCCGGUGUAGCAGUGAAAUGCGUAGAUAUCCGGAGGAACACCAGUGGCGAAAGCGGCCACCUGGACUGUACCUGACGCUCAAACACGAAAGCUAGGGGAGCGAACGGG